UGUCUUGACUGUCGAUGGUCUCAUCAGUAAAUCAGGCGAUACAGUGACUCUAGUCUCUCGCCCCCCUGCUCUGAAUGACAUUUUCACUGCUGCCGACUUACAUGAAGUUGUAGAUUCCUAUCUCAGCCACUCAUCUUGGCCUGUCUGGCAGUUUUCGUGCACAAAAUCUGCUAAAUUGGAAGAGUGCUGGAAGCCAAAUGUGAAGAAUGCUCUGCAGAUGGUUUCAAUACUUCUUCCAGGAACACCCAUCAUAAAUGCUGGCGAUGAGCUGAGUGGUGGUCUUAUCAGGCCGGAACAUGGUCUUCCGGUCACUGUUUCAGACACUACUCCCCCUCCGGCAGUGAGCAACGGAAGUCCCAAACUAGUUGAAGCAGGCAGCAGCACCAAACAAAUUCUUCAGAAACUUGUAGAAAUUCGCAGCCUGCCUGCAUUUGCACAAGGAAUCUCUGAAGCAAAAGUGCUUCAUCAAGAUUCAUUGUUUGCCUUCACCAGAAUAAAGAGAGGUAGCCUCAGUUUUCUGGUAGCAUUUAAUCCUGCUGAUGAAACAGUUUUUGCUGAUUUCUCUGAAAUGAAGAGCAUUCCCUCUAACCUGACUGUAGAGGUUUGGUCUCAGAAGCUUUCACCGUUUCCAAUAAAAUUGAGUGACACGCUUAGAAGUGAUGCUGUGAUAAUACCUCCCGAAACAGCUCUUCUUGUUUCUUUCAUGCCGCAAGUGUAA
rnacentral:lncRNA from 1 species